rnacentral:rRNA from 1 species
GACGAACGCUGGCGGCGUGCUUAACACAUGCAAGUCGAACGAUGAACCCGGAGCUUGCUCCGGUGGAUUAGUGGCGAACGGGUGAGUAACACGUGAGUAACCUGCCCUUGACUCUGGGAUAACUGCGGGAAACUGUAGCUAAUACCGGAUACGACCCUCGGCGGCAUCGCCAGGGGGUGGAAAGAAUUUCGGUCAAGGAUGGACUCGCGGCCUAUCAGCUAGUUGGUGAGGUAACGGCUCACCAAGGCGACGCCGGGUAGCCGGCCUGAGAGGGGGACCAGCCCCACUGGGACCUAGACACGGACCAGACUCCUACGGGAGGCAGCAGUGGGGAAUAUUGCACAAUGGGCCCAAGCCUGAUGCGGCAACGCCGCGUGAGGGAUGACGGCCUUCGGGUUGUAAACCUCUUUUAGUAGGGAAGAAGCGAAAGUGACGGUACCUGCAGAAGAAGCACCGGCUAACUACGUGCCAGCCGCCGCAGUAA